CCCAGACUCCUACGGGAGGCAGCAGUGGGGGAUAUUGCACAAUGGGGGGAACCCUGAUGCAGCGACGCCGCGUGGGUGAAGGAGCGUUUCGGCGCGUAAAGCCCUGUCGGCAGGGAAGAAGGAGGACGGUACCUGACUAAGAAGCCCCGGCUAACUACGUGCCAGCAGCCGCGGUAAUACGUAGGGGGCAAGCGUUAUCCGGAUUUACUGGGUGUAAAGGGGGCGCAGACGGCAGCGCAAGCCAGGAGUGAAAGCCCGGGGCCCAACCCCGGGACUGCUCUUGGAACUGCGCGGCUGGAGUGCAGGAGGGGCAGGCGGAAUUCCUGGUGUAGCGGUGAAAUGCGUAGAUAUCAGGAGGAACACCGGUGGCGAAGGCGGCCUGCUGGACUGCGACUGACGUUGAGGCCCGAAAGCGUGGGGAGCAAACAGGAUUAGAUACCCCCGUAA
rnacentral:rRNA from 1 species